AGUCUCUGGCCUUACAGGAGUGACCUGGACCUUGGCAGGCUCCUUGGCUUCCUCUUUGGGAUCCGGUUUCUUCUCCUUGGUCUUUCUUGUCCAGGAUGAAAAGAUUGGCAAAGCCGUGAGCGAUCACGUUAGCCGUGCGCCUGUUGACCCCGCCCACUGCGAGUAAACUGCCAAUCAAAACUGAGCCAGCACCGAGAGUGACAAAAACUGUCUUCCCAUCCGGUCCACCAACCACCUGCACUUCGCCUGCUUUGAUGAUGUACAUCUCCCGACCGACCUCUCCCUGAGGGGGAACGUGGACAAUACUCACCUUGAGUAACCGGGGCAGGCGCAGGAGAGGGUUGAUGCCAGUUUUAAAAUAGAAGAGCUCCAGCGGAACAAGACUAGCCACAUCAAACUGAAAAACACAUAUUAAAUGUAAUGAAUAUCAUUCAAAAAAUCUAAUAUUCAUAAUUAAUUCUGAUGUUGUGUGAAGAGUUUCUCCGCAUAACUAUACAUUAUUGUGAGAAAUUAAUGGAGCUGUUACUCCCUUUGCUGAACCAUUACUUUUGUUGCCAAUUAAUGAGUUGUCGAUUAAUCAAUUAGUUGUCGAUUAAUCGAUGCAUCUCUAUUGCAUAUAUAUUCGGACAAAUACACAAAGCCCAUUAUGACUAA